AAAUAUAAUAUGUUAUUCUUCCAGAGAAUUUAUGAAAAUUUAAAAAUAAGAAAAAAAAAUUAAAAAAUCCAAACUUUCUAAUUUGCAAGCGGCCAUACUUAUUUGACCGCCGUACUUAUUUAACCGCGUUAUAAACUCUAAAUCGUGCAACGAAUUCUUACUGGCCCUUAUCUAAUCUUAUAUAGAUAAACUUCGGAUGAAAUAUUACAACGCGUUUAUAAUUUGCAUCGAUCAAGAUGUAAUUUGAAACACAUCAACGAAAUUCGACAAUUCUCGAGUUAAGGAAAAAAAUUGCUGUUUUAAAUCGGUCAUUGCACAUCUUCAUAAAUAUAUAUGAUUUUCCUCGCAGUGGCGAAGGGAAAGGGAAACGAUUCCCGGAAUUAACGGUGCGCGCAUCAGUGGUGAGAAAGAGGACAGGGCAUUUAUUAUUUAUUAUAGAUAGGUUAAGGGUUAAAUUGCAAUGUGGCGCGCGCGUCCUGUCCUUGCAUCGUGAAUCGCACGCGAGCUAGAUCAUCUCGCGUACUUUUUUAGGACGGCUUUGGGUUUAAGUCGGCCGUAAACCUAUAUACCUAUAUAUCAUGUGCACACGUAUUAUCGCACAUGUCUCUGAUACCCGGCUCGUGCCACGCAAGCGCGAAGUGCGUCAGAAAGUCCGAAUGCGCUUACUCCAAGGCCGCGACUCGCCAACGUUCGAUGCGAAUGAAACGACGAGGCGUCUCUCGCGCUCGUGGCGCAUAAGUUUUGAUCUGUCCUUCGCUCCGUCACAAGUAUAUAGGCUUGCAUUUUCUAAUAUCAAAUCAAAUUAAAUCGCACCUGGAGACGUGCAUUAAUCGCGAUUGCGCAUGCGCCCACGGCAUGUCAUGCCGACAGGUGCACUGUUAUAUUUCUUGCAUUUGAAAUGCAGAAAAUAAAUACGUUAUUAGAUAAUACACAAAUAAGAAGAAGGGAAUAAAAUGUUCAAAAAAUUUA